ACUCCUGUGGAGGAAUGGCAGACUCAAUGGAUUCUAAAUCCAUCGCAAAUCGCAUACAGGUUCAAAUCCUGUCAGGAGUA
rnacentral:tRNA from 1 species